AUGAUAAUUAGUUUAAGCCAAAAACAAAUGAUUUCGA
rnacentral:tRNA from 1 species